CAGAACAGAGCUUGAUUAGUUAAGCGUCUCAUUUACAUUGAGUUCAUAUUCGUGCAAGUCGAUUUGUUUUGA
rnacentral:tRNA from 1 species